rnacentral:rRNA from 1 species
GAUGAACGCCGGCGGUGUGCCUAAUACAUGCAAGUCGAACGCGUUGGCCCAAUUGAUUGAUGGUGCUUGCACCUGAUUGAUUUUGGUUGCCAGCGAGUGGCGGACGGGUGAGUAACACGUAGGUAACCUGCCCAGAAGCGGGGGACAACAUUUGGAAACAGAUGCUAAUACCGCAUAACAGCGUUGUUCGCAUGAACAACGCUUAAAAGAUGGCUUCUCGCUAUCACUUCUGGAUGGACCUGCGGUGCAUUAGCUUGUUGGUGGGGUAACGGCCUACCAAGGCGAUGAUGCAUAGCCGAGUUGAGAGACUGAUCGGCCACAAUGGGACUGAGACACGGCCCAUACUCCUACGGGAGGCAGCAGUAGGGAAUCUUCCACAAUGGGCGCAAGCCUGAUGGAGCAACACCGCGUGAGUGAAGAAGGGUUUCGGCUCGUAAAGCUCUGUUGUUAAAGAAGAACACGUAUGAGAGUAACUGUUCAUACGUUGACGGUAUUUAACCAGAAAGUCACGGCUAACUACGUGCCAGCAGCCGCGGUAAUACGUAGGUGGCAAGCGUUAUCCGGAUUUAUUGGGCGUAAAGAGAGUGCAGGCGGUUUUCUAAGUCUGAUGUGAAAGCCUUCGGCUUAACCGGAGAAGUGCAUCGGGAAACUGGAUAACUUGAGUGCAGAAGAGGGUAGUGGGAACUCCAUGUGUAGCGGUGGAAUGCGUAGAUAUAUGGAAGAACACCAGUGGCGAAGGCGGCUACCUGGUCUGCAACUGACGCUGAGACUCGAAAGCAUGGGUAGCGGAACAGGAUAAGAUACCCUGGUAGUCCAAGGGCGAUUCCACAGUGGAUAUCAAGCUUAUCGAUACCUCGACCUGGAGGGGCGGCCCAGUACCAAGUUUUUGUUCCUUUUGUGAGGGUAAAUAAAACAUCGCCCAACCCCCUAUAUACCCUCGGGGGGGUAUGAGAAUAUGGGGCCCGAGGUUGAGGUGUAUCUUAUACUGUCUUAUUUCUCUUAUGCUUUUAGUUCCUGCGUAUACUACGCCUGCUGUAUAUUUCACCCGUAUACCCACCUCGAAAGAGACGAGGAC